CGGCAGGCUUAACACAUGCAAGUCGAGGGGUAUAGUUCUUCGGAAUUAGAGACCGGCGCACGGGUGCGUAACGCGUAUGCAAUCUACCUUUCACAGAGGGAUAGCCCAGAGAAAUUUGGAUUAAUACCUCAUAGUAUAGCAGUUUCGCAUGAAACCACUAUUAAAGUCACAACGGUGAAAGAUGAGCAUGCGUCCCAUUAGCUAGUUGGUAAGGUAACGGCUUACCAAGGCAACGAUGGGUAGGGGUCCUGAGAGGGAGAUCCCCCCACACUGGUACUGAGACACGGACCAGACUCCUACGGGAGGCAGCAGUGAGGAAUAUUGGUCAAUGGACGCAAGUCUGAACCAGCCAUGCCGCGUGCAGGAUGACGGUCCUAUGGAUUGUAAACUGCUUUUGUACGAGAAGAAACAACAUUACGUGUAAUGUCUUGACGGUAUCGUAAGAAUAAGGAUCGGCUAACUCCGUG
rnacentral:rRNA from 1 species